UUCUUUGCUUUUCCACAGACACUGUUUGCGCUGCGGGAUCGGGGGUGCCCGGAGAUUUCUUCCCACAGACACACGAGUCCCCCUGUUCGCUCUUCUUUUGUCUUUCCCCCCACCCGGGGUUAUUUCCUUGCGGGGGGGGGGGGGAGUCAGAUACCCUUUGAGGCGCUGAACCUGCUCCAUGCAAAGAAGGAGUUGAGACUUAAAUCCGCAGGCCAGAAAAGCGCUUUAAACUCGCAGUUUUGAGCCAAACUGCGUUUCUGAGCGGCUGAAGACCCACACAAACUUCCAGCAAAGUAGCUGCGGCUCCCUGAAGUGAUAAAUAAAACUAGUCAGGUACUUUUUUUCCUUUUUUUAUUUUCCAGAAAGCCAUACAAAUUGGUCCAUGUUGACAGAUGUUUGUCACUUAGUAACUUCUUUCCAAGUUUUUUCUUUUUUUUUUUUUUUUUUUCCCCUCCCUCUCCCCUCCUCUAAGCCUUCUUCCGAGCUGGCUUUGUUGUUUUAAAAUAUGCAUGUCUCUCAGGAAUGCAAGUCACGAGUCCAAACUUCGUGUCCAACCUCCCACAAGAAAUGAUCCUUUUAUAGGGAACCCGAUAUGUCUCAAUCUGCACUUCACUCAAAGCCUCUGGAUAUAGGGCACUGGUCCCUGCUCAAAAAUAACUCCGCUGAAACGCCUUUCCACCUAAAAAAUCCCCACGAAUGACUCCCAGGGAAGAAAUAUAGCUCCCAUAAUUAAAGGCGGCAGCGGUCAGAGGGGAAUGCAGCCUGGAGGAAAAAAAAAAGGGGGGGGGGAGCAGAGAGCAAGAGAGUUUUUAUUUCUGUGCUGGUUGCACUGGGCCGUCAUUAGCAGCAGGUUUAUCAAGACGAGCCUCUGUGGCAGCUCCGGGUGCGUGGGGAGAAGGCGUCAGAGGAGCAGAGAAGAGAGGAGAUUAAGGAGCAGAGCCCAACUCCGAGAAAAGAGAUUGUGCAGAACCGUGCCCGAGGAGCUCCCGGCCGAUGGGACACCUUUCCCUCCGUGUGCCACGCCAUCUACGUAGCCCAACAUAUGGAGAGCUCGCAGGCCCCUGCACCUAUAGGAGCUGAUAAGGCAUUAAGUUUUCAGCAAUAUUUACAGCACCGCUUUUAAUACACACCAGAUGGUUCGCGACGAGGCUGCCCCAGCCAGCGAGCUCCUCGGUUUGUACUCAGCAGCAUUUUGUUACAAUUAUACUCCAUGCUGAGAUCAAUUUUAUUGGUGACCUAUUUUUUUUUUUCAUAUUUGCAGCAUUUUAUGUUAAAAAAACCAAAACCAAACAACCCCAAAAACCCAACCCUCCUCCGCGGCCCCUUGGCACAGGGGCAGGGCUGGGAGAGAGGCUGCUGCCUCCGGAUUGCAGAGAGCUCUCCUCAUCCUCAGUAAUGAGACGCUCCUGCCUGUGUGUCUACAUGUGGGCAUAGAUAAAUAAUACAUAUGCAUAUUUAUUCAUUAUAUUUGAUCAAUAACGCUCCUAUUUGUUAAACCUCCAUUGAGUGCGCUCGCCUGCCUGAUAACAAACAUCACAGGGCGAUAAAUGUUGCAUACGGUUAAUUAUUAUGCCAAUGCAUUAUGCCUCGCUCCACUUAGGUGCUCAAGCCCCUCGUAAAACUUCUCGCAAACACGAACAUCUCUCGCAGAUAUUUUGCUGCGGAGAGGGAAAAACCCAGCCCCUUGAACUCUCUGGGAAUUCUUCAGCAUUGACAGGAGGAAACUGUGGCUAAUACAUUCCUGUGAGCUAAACACUCUGCUGUGAAGGAGGGAGAGAGAGCAAUCCUUGCCUAGAAAACAUCCCAGGGCUUUUAAUCCCGUGCCCGGGAUAUGUUAGCACGUCGUGCAGAAAGCUGCAGCCAGGAUCGCGUUUUUCUCGUGGAGUUUUGCCACCCCCGUUUUACUGUAGAGCAGAGAGCCUGGUUUCGGCGUGGCUGUGUAAAUACCCAAUUUACUCCUCUGCAGGUGUGUUCUCCCUACACAAACGCUUUCCCCACUUUUAUAGGAACUCUUAAAAAAAAUUUUUUUUUUUUGCCUCUCCUGCUAAAAUCACAGAUGUUUAUUUUAUUGAUAUAACCUAUACCUUGGUUAUGCCGAGAAUAAUAUGCCUCAACUAACAGUCAUUUAGCAAAUAAUAGAGGCGCUCUGGAUGCUUUCCAAUGUUACACAUGUACUUGGUCAUAAAAUGAUAUGUGAAAAAAAUUAACAUCUGCUUUCCUAAAAUAAAGUGUUGCAAGUAGCUUUUUA